GCGCUGUUUCAGGGCGAGGUGAAAUUCCUCACUGGCGGUAACGGGGAAGAUCGGGCAGACGACCCGCCUCCGAAGUCCGCGACCCUCGGCUCGUUGGUUCGAGUCCCGAGGUUGACCCGGUGCGAAUCCGGGACCAACGGUUAAAGUCCGGAUGGAAGAGGCAGGUG
rnacentral:ncRNA from 2 species